GCAAGUCGAGCGAGACCUUCGGGUCUAGCGGCGGACGGGUUAGUAACGCGUGGGAACGUACCCUUUUCUACGGAAUAGCCUCGGGAAACUGAGAGUAAUACCGUAUAAGCCCUUCGGGGGAAAGAUUUAUCGGAGAAGGAUUAGCCCGCGUUAGAUUAGAUAGUUGGUGGGGUAAUGGCCUACCAAGUCUACGAUCUAUAGCUGGUUUUAGAGGAUGAUC
rnacentral:rRNA from 1 species